GACGAACGCUGGCGGCGUGCUUAACACAUGCAAGUCGAGCGGUAAGGCUCCUUCGGGAGUACACGAGCGGCGGAACGGGUGAGUAACACGUGAGCAAUCUGCCCUUCUCUUUGGAAUAACCAUUGGAAACGAUGGCUAAUGCCGAAUAUGACCUCGGAACACAUGUUCUGAGGUGGAAAGCUCCGGCGGAGAAGGAUGAGCUCGCGGCCUAUCAGCUUGUUGGUGAGGUAAUGGCUCACCAAGGCAUUGACGGGUAGCCGGCCUGAGAGGGUGACCGGCCACACUGGGACUGAGACACGGCCCAGACUCCUACGGGAGGCAGCAGUGGGGAAUAUUGGACAAUGGGCGAAAGCCUGAUCCAGCAACGCCGCGUGAGGGAUGAAGGCCUUCGGGUUGUAAACCUCUUUCAGCAGGGACGAAGCGAAAGUGACGGUACCUGCAGAAGAAGGACCGGCCAACUACGUGCCAGCAGCCGCGGUAAUACGUAGGGUCCGAGCGUUGUCCGGAAUUAUUGGGCGUAAAGGGCUCGUAGGCGGUUUGUCACGUCGGGAGUGAAAACUCAGGGCUCAACCCUGAGCGUGCUUUCGAUACGGGCAGACUAGAGGUAUUCAGGGGAGAACGGAAUUCCUGGUGUAGCGGUGGAAUGCGCAGAUAUCAGGAGGAACACCGGUGGCGAAGGCGGUUCUCUGGGAAUUACCUGACGCUGAGGAGCGAAAGCAUGGGGAGCGAACAGGAUUAGAUACCCUGGUAGUCCAUGCCGUAAUCGUUGGGCGCUAGGUGUGGGGACCUUUCCACGGUCUCCGUGCCGCAGCUAACGCAUUAAGCGCCCCGCCUGGGGAGUACGGCCGCAAGGCUAAAACUCAAAGGAAUUGACGGGGGCCCGCACAAGCGGCGGAGCAUGCUGAUUAAUUCGAUGCAACGCGAAGAACCUUACCUGGGUUUGACAUAUACCGGAAAGCUGCAGAGAUGUAGCCCCCUUUUGGUCGGUAUACAGGUGGUGCAUGGCUGUCGUCAGCUCGUGUCGUGAGAUGUUGGGUUAAGUCCCGCAACGAGCGCAACCCUCGUUCUAUGUUGCCAGCACGUAAUGGUGGGGACUCAUAGGAGACUGCCGGGGUCAACUCGGAGGAAGGUGGGGAUGACGUCAAGUCUUCAUGCCCCUUAUGUCCAGGGCUUCAAGCAUGCUACAAUGGCCGGUACAAAGGGCUGCGAAACCGCAAGGUGGAGCGAAUCCCAAAAAGCCGGUCUCAGUUCGGAUUGGGGUCUGCAACUCGGCCCCAUGAAGUCGGAGUCGCUAGUAAUCGCAGAUCAGCAACGCUGCGGUGAAUACGUUCCCGGGCCUUGUACACACCG
rnacentral:rRNA from 1 species